GAAUGAUUUUUCGAGCAUAUCAAUCUAAAAGAUAUUAACAUUUGUAUGCAACAGAUUAUUUUAAAAUUAUAAACACAACGUGCGUAUACACACAAGAGUGCAAGACUUUAACGUGCGGUUUUUACCUAUUUUAAGUGUGCGGUAUUCGCCUAUACAAUGUAUCUACCUGGCAACCGAUAAAGUGUGUGGUUUUUGUUUAUAGACCUUUUUGGAAUUGAAAUAAUGUCUGUGCGGUUAUUGAAUGCAACCGUUUUUAUUUGUGUUAUUUCUAUAACACUGUAAAACAAUGUAUCCGUAAUUUCGUUUUCUAACAGCGGACCAAACUGCGUAUUUACAGAACACUCACUAUCCGAGUUUGACCCGAACCGAAAUGUAACCGAAUCGAGUUGCAAAGUAUAUUUUACGAGUUUUAUAGAAUGCAACCUACUUGUUGGUCCGAACUCCAUGCUAACCCGUGGAAGUUAAUGUCCUGAAUGUAAAUCUAAAACCUACUGCCUAGUCGAUGAGUCGAUAAGUUUCUAUUGUCUAGUGACUUUUAUAUCGACCGACCAAGAUUAGUCAAUUACUCUAUUAUCGAACAAACGCACCGACAUAAUAAUAUUUUGUUCCGUCUAACAUUAAUAUCAACGUAUUCAGUGGUUGUUUGAAUUAUAUUGUCCACCCUAUCCUAUACCUGAUACUGUAUUAUGUUGUGGGACCGUGUAGGCAAAU